rnacentral:rRNA from 1 species
AUGCAGCCCCUCCAAUUUUCAAACAAGACACGCAACAACAAAAUGCACAUACCUUCCCUCGGCCUCGCUCUUGUGCUGCUGAUCUCUUUGGCCUCUCCCGCAAGUUCCUGCACACAGCAUGAGAAGAACUCCCUUCUCCAGUUCCUUGCCGAGCUCUCACAGGACGGUGGCCUUGCAGCCUCAUGGCGGAACAACACGGAUUGCUGCAAGUGGGAAGGGAUCACCUGCAGGAAAGAUAUGACGGUCACCGAAAUCUUGCUGCCUUCGAAGGGCCUCCAGGGGAAAAUCUCACAGUCCCUUGGGAUCCUCACCGGGCUGCAGUACCUUGACCUCUCUCACAACUCGCUGUCCGGUGGUCUGCCGCUGGAAUUGGUGCCGUCCAGCAGCAUCAUCUUCCUUGAUGUAAGCUUUAACCAGCUCAAUGGGACACUCCACGAGUUGUCAUCUUCAACCCCUGCCCGGCCUCUGCAGGUACUGAACAUCUCAAGCAACCUAUUUGCAGGACAGUUUCCAUCCACCACAUGGAAAGCAAUGGAGAAUCUGAUAGCACUCAACGCAAGUAAUAACAGCUUUACAGGGCACAUACCAACUCAUUUCUGUAGCAGUUCACCAUCCCUAGCCGUGCUAAAUCUGUGUUUAAACAAAUUCAGUGGCAACAUCCCCAAACAACUUGGUGAUUGCUCCAAGCUGAGGGAGCUCAGGGCCGGGUACAACAACAUCAGCGGAGAAGUCCCAGAUGAACUCUUCAAUGCUACUUUGUUGGAAUACCUGUCUUUUCCUAAAAAUUAUUUAAAUGGAGCUAUUAAUGAUGCACACCUGCCCAACCUCAGAAAUCUAGUAACGCUUGAUCUUGGAGGGAACAUUUUCAGUGGCAAGAUUCCUGAUUCCAUAGGCCAGCUCAAGAAAUUGGAGUUGUUCCAUAUGGACAACAACAACAUGUCAGGGGAGCUGCCAUAUGCUCUAAGCAACUGCACGAAUCUCAGAAUAAUCGACCUCAAGACAAACAACUUCAGUGGACAGCUCAAUAAGGUCAAUUUCUCCAGCCUGCCCAAUCUAAAGAUAUUAGACCUUCUGUACAACAGCUUCUCUGGCACAAUUCCAGAAAGUAUAUACUCUUGCAGCAACCUGACUGCACUGCGGCUGUCUAGCAACCAUUUAGAUGGGCAGCUUUCACCACGAAUUGGCGAUCUGAAGUACCUCACCUUCCUAUAA